AUACGUAGGGAGCGAGCGUUGUCCGGAAUUACUGGGUGUAAAGGGAGAGUAGGCGGGAUCGCAAGUCAGAUGUGAAAUGCAUGGGCUUAACCCAUGAGCUGCAUUUGAAACUGCGGUUCUUGAGUGCAGUAGAGGUAAGCGGAAUUCCUGGUGUAGCGGUGAAAUGCGCAGAUAUCAGGAGGAACACCGGUGGCGAAGGCGGCUUACUGGGCUUUUACUGACGCUGAGGCUCGAAAGCGUGGGGAGCAAACAGGAUUAGAUACCCUGGUAGUCCACGCUGUAAACGAUGAUUACUAGGUGUGGGGGGACUGACCCCUUCCGUGCCGCAGUUAACACAAUAAGUAAUCCACCUGGGGAGUACGGCCGCAAGGUUGAAACUCAAAUGAAUUGACGGGG
rnacentral:rRNA from 1 species